AUUCAACAUUGUUGGCUAUUGUGUAGUAGCAGUGUCCUAGGAGAUAACAGAAUCGCCCUACAAAAAUAUAGGGGCAAGAACCAGUUUUGUGAUGGAACUUAACUUACGAACGGUUCCAGUUGUUCGACUGACAUGUUUCCUACCAUGAAAAAACAAACAUCAGAAUUAAUGGAGCAACCAUAAAGGCUCAUAAGGAUUAUAAUCCAAUUUACAAUUCAGAAGUACUCGUCAUCAAACUGUGCACCUGCACGGUCUAGGGAUUUUGUUAAGUUAAUAGUACUUAUUUUUAAUAGGUUUGGUUACAUGUGAAAAAAAUGUAGGAAGUUCACUAACAUACUUUUGUUGUGUAUUUGGGAAUAUAUUAAAAAGUUGAUACAUGUCAGCAAUCUGCAAGCAUUUUCUCAACGUGGUCACUGAAUAAACAUUGUACAAGACAUUUAUCAGUAACUUAUGGAACAAUUCGAAAAGAACAUUGGAGUCUAAAAAUUAGCCCCAUUGAAUAUUUUGAAAACUGGAUACAUAACAACCACAUCACAUUAGAUUACACAAUCAGAGAUUCUAGUUGGAGGCUGGAUCUGUUCUAAGAUUGGAAUCCAACUUUUUGUAGCAACAAACUACUAUUGUAGUAAAUCCCUCAUAGUGCGACUACCUUUUUCUACUAAAGCACACUGCUGAAAAAAUAUAGUAUAUUUGAUAUAUCCUCUUAGAGAAGCAAGACAACACAAACAGAAAUUCAGUUAUAGACCAAAGCAUCAUGUAAUGCUAUAACUUAGCAUUUAUGAAGCCAACUUGUUCUCUACGUGCGAUUCAAGCAAGUUAUCCUACUAUGUAUUUAUUUCAUUUUAGUUACUUAAUACAGAAUACAAAUGAGGAGCGAACUAUUAGCAAUCCUAGAAGACGUAAACUUCAAUUAUUAGGUUACAAACAUUAGCUAGGCACAAAACUAUACAAAGCACAAUUCACAUCUAUAGAAAAUCAAACAACACACUCAACAAACAAGUUGUAUACCUGUGGCUUUCUUGCUUCUUCUCAUCUUUGUCAUUGUGGAUUUCAAGGGACUUGGAUCUAUGCUAGUGAACUUGGUGAUGCUUAGUUGCCUGAUUGGUUGUUUCUACUGUCCUUGCUUGUUGGACGAGUUGAUGGCCUAGGGAUCAACAUAGUAGUUACGAGUUAUAAACAUAAAGUGGGCAGAUACUUUGAAAGAUAGAUAAGCACUUAAGUUGCACAUAUAAUAUCUAGACACACACACUUCACUACUUGUCGUUGACAUAAAUUAUGCACUGUCAUACCAAAAUACACAAGUUGCAGCCUGCAUAUUUUUAGCUAUUGAAAAAUAUUGCUUAUGUAUCAUAUCUUCAUAUAAUAUACUAUUUGUUCAGUUUACAGCCACUCCAAAGUAAAAUACUUUUGCAGUUCAGUGCAUUAUAUUUGCAGAAAUUUAAGUGUAAGAGGAGGAUUAAAUAUUUAAGUUUACAGCAAAUGCAAAAGAGAUGUUAAUUUGGAAAUUUUCUAUCUCGAAAAGUGAUUCCAUCUAAAGAAAAGCAAAACAAAAAGGCAGUGCCUGAAACGCCUUUUUCUUUUGACCACUAACAAACCACUUUGUUAACAUGGUCAUGGACAUUGAGUUCUGUCAAAACGAUCGCCCAGAUCGCAAGCUUUGCUAUCGGCAUGCAAUAACAUUCAUGCCGACAUUUCUUUUCAUUUCCUAACAAACACUACAUACAGCACCAAUGAAAAAGUUUCUUCUUAUCAAGAACUAUAAUAGAAGAUGAGAUGAUGCAUCAUGAUUCCCGCUCCCACUAGCAAUACUGCUAAUGCUGAAAAGCUAGGAAGAACUUAGCAAGAAGAAUUAAUCUUAAGUUAAACAAGUAGAGAAGAACACCAGCUCGCUGAACCGAGAUCGCGUGUCCUCCCAGAGCAGUGUCGAUCAGCGGAGCAACGACAAUGAUCAGAGCAUCACAUGGAAGAACACCACCGUCCCAGCCGACGACAUCCUAAUCUGCAUCAUCAAACGAAACCAGAAUCAGGGCACCGUGCAGCAGAGCAGGCGAGAGAUGUACUAGCGAUGGACGUGUGGUUACCAGUCAGUGGACGAGGUGCGUAUGGAUAGAAACUAUGGAUGGAUGGAUGAUCAGGGCGAAAACCAAGCAAGCAGGCUCGUGGACAGCAGGAAGAUCUGCUUGCGCCGCCCCUCGGUGGUUGGACCAUCCGUUGCUCGCCCCACCACGCAAGCGGCUGGAUUGACCGAGCCGUUGCUNNNNNNNNNNNNNNNNNNNNNNNNNNNNNNNNNNNNNNNNNNNNNNNNNNNNNNNNNNNNNNNNNNNNNNNNNNNNNNNNNNNNNNNNNNNNNNNNNNNNGCGAAGCCCUGCCGGGAGACCUCGUCUCUCCAUCGACACCACGCCGUCGUGCUGCUGGAGUUCUUCCCCAACCUCUCCCUCCUCCUUGCUGGAUCAAAGUGCGGGAGACGUCACGGGGCUGCACGUAUGUUGAACGCGGAGGUGCCGUAGUUCGGCACUAGAUCGGAAUCACACCGCAAUUUGAAUCGCCGCGAGUACGACUCGAUCAACUGCGUUCUAGUAACGCUUCCGCUUAACGAUCUUCAAAGCUAUGAAGAUGCUCUCACCCCUCUCUCGUUGCUGGUCUCUCCAUAGAAAGAUCGGAAUAUGCGUAGGAAUUUUUUUAAAUUUAUGCUACGUUACCCUACAACGCGUCCCUGCAACAAGCAUACACUUAACCUACGUUUUUCUACAUCUUUUGGUGCCGAUGAGGACGACAUCUUUCUCACUCUAUUCCUUCCUGAAGGCCUCGUCGUGGGGCUUGCCUAUUCUUUGCCGCGAUGUCAAGUGAUCUUCAGGUGAAAACUCAUGCUCACUUCCAACGGGAAAUGCUAACACCGAUGUGACUACCUUCUUGAACGUGCCACCUUGGAAUCCUUUGACAUUGUGGGGCGGCAGAUCUGUGGUUGACAUUGUGGGGCGGCUGAUCUGUGGAAGUUGUGUUGGAUCUUGUUGUGGUCUAUGGCGGUGGAUGCUGGGGUGGCUGCUCCGGACAAUGGAUGGGUUCUGAGGCGGUGGCCUCGAACAGCGAAGCAACAACAGCUCUACGUGGUUUUGCAUGGCUUGGUUAGCAACCUCAUCCUGCGAGGGUAGCGAGUCCCUUGACCUCUUCAAUGCAAUUAGUAUGUUAGGGCAGCGGCCCUGCAUUUAUGGCACACCAUUAGUGGUCUGCAUAUGGUCUUUUCAUGUAGCAAGGGCUAUAGGGUGUUCAUGUCAUGCAUCGUUGUUGCUCGCGUGUGAGCAGAGGUAGUCGGAGCGGCGGAUCCGGACCCAGGGGUGUGUCUUGGUGCGACUACAGCCUUAUGUCGUGUGGACCACAGGGCUUCGUUGCUUGUGCGGGAUUUGGCCUGCUUUUUUAUAAACUGGGCAGCCAUGUUUGGUUUUCGAUCUGGUUUUUCUUACAAACAGGACCAAUUUUUUUUUUUGAAAUAUAUUCUGGUGAGGAGUCUUUCUCCCUCGAUGGCAGAUUUAGAAAAAGCUAUUGUGGAUACUGUUGGAAUUAUGCCCUAGAUGCAAUAAUAAAUAUAGUUAUUAUUAUAAUUCCUGUAUCAAGAUAAUCGUUUAUUAUCCAUGCUAUAAUUGUAUUGAAUAAAGACUUAUAUACAUGUGUGGAUACAUAGACAAAACACUGUCCCUAGCAAACCUCUAGUUGGCUAGACAGUUGAUCAAAGAUAGUCAGUGUCUUCUGAUUAUGAACAAGGUGUUGUUGCUUGAUAACUGGAUCACGUCAUUAGGAGAAUCACGUGAUGGACUAGACCCAAACUAAUAGACGUAGCAUGUUGAUCGUGUCAUUUUGUUGCUACUGUUUUCUGCGUGUCAAGUAUUUGUUCCUAUGACCAUGAGAUCAUAUAACUUACUAACACCGGAGGAAUACUUUGUGUGUAUCAAACGUCGCAACGUAACUGGGUGACUAUAAAGAUGCUCUACAAGUAUCUCCGAAGGUGUUCGUUAAGUUAGUAUGGAUCAAGACUAGGAUUUGUCACUCCGUGUGACGGAGAGGUAUCUCGGGGCCAACUCGGUAAUACAACAUCACACACAAGCCUUGCAAGCAAUGUGACUUAGUGUNNNNNNNNNNNNNNNNNNNNNNNNNNNNNNNNNNNNNNNNNNNNNNNNNNNNNNNNNNNNNNNNNNNNNNNNNNNNNNNNNNNNNNNNNNNNNNNNNNNNCCGGCAGGGCUUCGCCAAGCACCGGCAGAGAGGAGGAGAAAGAAGGGCAGGGUUGCGCCGAGAGAGAGAAAACCGUGUGCAAAACAGCCCCGAAACCUCAAAUAUAUGUAGGGGGAGAGGGAGGGGGCGCAGCCCUUAGGGUUCCCACCCCCAAGGGGUGCGACAGCCCCAGAUGGGAGAGGGGCGGCGGCCAGGGAAGGAAGGAGGGGUGGCACACCCCUCUGGUGGGCCUUAGGCCCACCUGCGCUAGGGUUCCCCCCCCCCUCAACCCUCUUCCUGCGCCAUGGGCUGAGUGGGGGGCGCACCCGCCCACCUAGGGGCUGGUUCCCUUCCCCACUUGGCCCAUCUAGCCUCCCGGGGUCGUCGCCCCCUUCGGUGGACCUCUGGGGCCACCUCCGGUGGUCCCGGUGGUCCCGGUACGUUAUCGGUGAUGCCCGAAACACUUCCGGUGUCCGAAACCAUCCGUCCUAUAUAUCAAUCUUUACCUCCGGACCAUUCCGGAGCUCCUCGUCACAUCCAAGAUCUCAUCCGGGACUCCGAACAAAUUUUGAUAACCUCGUAUAACAAUUCCCUAUAACCCUAGCGUCAUCGAACCUUAAGUGUGUAGACCCUACGGGUUCGGGAGACAGGUAGACAUGACCGAGACACCUCUCUGGCCAAUAACCAUCAGCGGGGUCUGGAUACCCAUGGUGGAUCCCACUUUCUCCAUGAUGAUCUCAUCGGAUGAACCACGAUGUCAAGGAUUCAAUCAAUCCCGUAUACGAUUCCCUUUGUCUGUCGGUAUAGAACUUGCCCGAGAUUCGAUCGUCGGUAUACCUAUACCUUGUUCAAUCUCGUUACCGGUAAGUCUCUUNNNNNNNNNNNNNNNNNNNNNNNNNNNNNNNNNNNNNNNNNNNNNNNNNNNNNNNNNNNNNNNNNNNNNNNNNNNNNNNNNNNNNNNNNNNNNNNNNNNNGGUGCGCGCCGUGUUCCACCGCGUCGUCGCCAGCCGCGCCGAGGUCGUGCGCUGCAUGGAGCACAGCGCGCGCAGCACCGCCGGGUCCGCCUCCGGCGUGCCGGCGCCGCAACCCCAUUCCUUCUGAGCAGAGGACGAUUGAUUAGGAUUUUUACCUUCUUUGGGUUGAAAAAAGAUCCCUCCUUUCUCUGCUCAAACUGUACCAUUCUUUGAUUUGGAUCACUGCCUGUGUGAUCUUGUGUAUGUAGACGUAUGGCUUGGCUGUAAAAACUAACUUUUUUUGGAUUGAUUAGUGCUGUUCUUGAUGCUCAACAGCAGAGAGAAGAGAAUGUGUUAUCUGUUGAAAGAGGAAAAAAGAAAGAAAAAGAUAGAGUCAAAGAUUUGUCUCCCAAAAGAACAAAAAAGAAAGAAAAAUGAGGAAGAAGGAUUCAAAGAUUGUAGAAUUUGUCAGCCCUCAUCAUCAUCAGCAACAACAUCGUCACUCAAAAAAUUGUGUUCCCUUCUCCUGUGUUGCACUUUCCUCCUGGGAUCAACAGACCCUAUUUUUUUCCAAUCAUCAAGCUAUUUCAGGAUUCAGAUGACCAAAUUUAUGAGCUGCAGAUCAUCCGGCUAUUUCAGGAAUCAGGAUUGAGAUGGCCAAAUUUAUGAGCCGCAGAUCAUUCGGCUGUUUCAGGAAUCAGGAUUGAGAUGGCCAAAUUUAUGAGCUGCAGAUCAUUCGGCUGUUUCAGGAAUCAGGAUUGAGAUGACCAAAUUUAUGAGCUGUAUAUCAUCAAAGCUGUUUCAGGGUUCAGAUGUCCAAAGUUUGAGCUUUGCAACACCCAUUUGUUCCUGGAUUUCAGAUGACCAGAGUUUGGGGUGCAACCUUGAGAUGGUUGACAAGCGGGUUGACUCAGGACAAAGAUCGCCAAGCAAAUCAAAGACAAAGAUCGAUCAAGUUGGUGGUGGCAUCUGGCGGAGAAAGAGGAGGCAAUCAAACGCAUGGUUGACUCAACCCAAGCCAAGACAAGCCAAGCCGGCCGGCCUGCAGCCACCAAACAGUGACAGACAAAGAUUUGAAUGGCCAGAGAUGUGCAGGCCAUCAAGGGGGCACAGCCUGGGAUGAGCUGUUGCACUUUGUCCCUUUUGCCAUACUACUAUUCAACUCGGCUGACCUGUCCACGGCCUUAUUAUUCUAUGACUAAUCUUACAGAAAUCCUAAAGCUGCAGUGCCUGAGUUAACUACUCCUGCUAGUGUAUUCUUUCCUGCGAGAAAUAGAUAAAAAUUCGCCUGUGCUGUGUGCUUGCUAGCUAGCUGCUGCCACUUGUAGCCAGGAGACAGAGUCUCAUUUUCCUGUGCUAUCCAUAUUAUGGUCUCAAUUUUUUAGACUCCGAAGAUAACAGGGAUUCUAUGACUAAUAUUUCACCCAUGUACUGAGUACUCACUGCAGGCAUGAGUGAUGUCUGAACUUAGCUUCUUGUGUAUGUAGAUUAUGUGCGGUUCUACUGUAGCAAGUUCAUAAAAAAUGGGAUGCAAAAGCAGAUGUUGAACAGCUUAGUUAGGCCUUGAUUAAAUCAAAGGGGCAUCUAAAUGGAGAUACUACAUGGUCCUGACGAACCAGUGAGAAUGACCUAGCUAUCAUGAUGAGGAAAGAGUACGCUUAACUCUGAAUCCUCAAACAUGUUCAGUGCUGUAUCAUUGUCAUUAAUCAUGAGGCGUUGAACCUUUGUCACCCAUCUUUAGUUUCAUCACAUUUUCUAUGCUGCUGGUAGUGUACUGGACAGGACUGUACUGAUGCUACGGAUCAGCAAAAGUCAGAUAUACCUGGCUAUAGCAACUGUCAAGGAUAACAUUUCCAUUAUAAGAAUGGGAAUUAUUUUGCGGGUUUCUUUUUUCUCCGGAAAAAAAGGGGCUGGAUGUCACGACCGGAUGAACUAUAAAACUGUAUUUAGGAAGGAAAGGGGAAAGUUCUCCCGAGCUAACUAUAUUCCAGGUAUAUGCUUGUUCUCAGACAAGGAGGAAGAUAAUAAUCAUGUCCAGCUAGCCACAUCCCGGCAGCUAUUAAUAGGCUCAAAGGUUUUACUGAAAAGGGGAAGAAACGCUACAGCCCGACAAUGGACUUACUACAGUAAUUAUCCUACGGCUCUCGACGAAGCGGUACGCGAGGAGAGGGUCUGCACCGUUGGAUAACUGAACUUAACUGAACUCUGUUUCUGCUACUCGCUCGCACUUGUGCUGAACCUGACAUUGCCCUCUUCUUGAACACAACGUGUCCUCACGGUGUUGUAGCAUCUUGGCGCCACUGUAGGGUUGUUGCUUUGAAAAAUUCAGGGAAGGUAUAUUUGAUAAAAUUUGCAUCCUCCCAAGUUGCUUCUUCUCGUGACAAGUUCUCCCACUGGAUUAACCACUGUACUACUGGUUGGUUCUGCCUUGGAAUCUGUCUGACUUGAAGAACUCCAGCAGGCCCUGUUUUGAUUGUCCCAUCUUGAUUGACCAUAGGUAGAUUGGGACUAGGGAUGGACUGAGAACCCACAUGUUUCUUUAGUUGACUGACAUGAAAGACAGGGUGGAUCUUGACAUGAUCAGGAAACUGCAAUUUAUAAGCUGACUUGCCCACCUUUUGUAUGACAAGAAAAGGACCAUAAAACUUGUAUUGUAGCUUAAGUGCUCCUCUGAAGCCAAAGGCUGCCAACCUGUAAGGGGCCAUCUUGAGAUAAACCAUAUCUCCCACUUCAAAGGAUCUCUCCACUCUUUUCAUAUCAGCAUAUUUCUUCAUUCUGUUUUGAGCUUGCACCAGAUUGUUUUUUAGUUGAUCCAACAUAUGCUGUUUUGCUGUCAGAAAAUCUAGUGCCUCCCCAUCUUCAGGACCAGGAAUAGCCAGCUCACUAAUGAGAGGAGGAGGAUAGCCAUAAAGAGCUUGGAAUGGUGGCAUUUUGAGACUGGUAUGAUAGGUGGAAUUGUACCAAAACUCAGCUAAUGCUAACCAAGAAGCCCACUUGCUAGGAGCAGUAGUAGACAUACACCUCAAAUAUGUUUCCAAACACUGAUUAAUUCUUUCUGUUUGUCCAUCUGUUUGAGGAUGAUAAGCAGUGCUAUAUCUCAGCUCCACUUUCAAGGCAGCAAAUAUGUCCUUCCAUAACUUGCUUGUGAAGAUCCUAUCUCUAUCAGAUAUAAUCAAUUUAGGUGGACCAUGUAACCUAAUAAUCUGAUCCACAAAAGCUUGAGCUACACUUAGGACUGUAUAAGGGUGUGACAGUGGGAUUAAAUGAGCAUAUUUUGUAAAUCUGUCCACCACUACCAUGAUCACAUCAUAUCCUUUUGAUAUUGGCAACCCUUCCACAAAAUCCAUAGAUAUGUGUUGCCAAGCUAAAUCUGCCACAGAUAAAGGGUCAAGUAAUCUUGGUUGGAGGCAGUUCUCAUGCUUGGCUCUUUGACAUAUAGGACAUGCAGCAACAAAUUCUUCCACUGCUUUCUUAAGCCCAGACCAGUACAAAAUUGACUUCACUCUCUGGUAAGUUGCCCUGUUUCCAGAGUGUCCUCCUAUUGGGGAGCUAUGUAAUGCUGCUAACAGUUUGUUUCUUAAGGGUGGAAUAUUCCCCACUAGUAUUUUCCCUUUGUAUCCGAUGAUACCUGAAUGAAGAGAAUAAUCACCUUCUUUGUGAUCACGUUGUAAGAGUAAUUUUUCCAACAAGUUUUUACUGUCAGCAUCUGUUUGAUAGCUGUCCAACAAGUCCUCAGCCCACAUAGGAGUUGCUGUAGAAAUAGCCAUACAUCCAGGGAGUACUCUGGAAAGAGCAUCAGCUACUUUGUUGUACACUCCUUUCUUAUACUGGAUAGUGAAAUUGAAUUCUAGCAACUUCAUCAUCAAUUUAUGUUGGAUUCCUUCAGUCAAUUUUUGAUCAGUGAUGAACUUUAAGGAUUGUUGAUCUGUUUUGAUAGUAAGAUUAUUUCCCAAUAGAUAGUGUCUCCAUCUUUUCAAAGCUUCCAGAAUAGCUAAAGCUUCUUUUUCAUAGGUGAAUAGUGCAUCAUUUCUAGGGCAUAGUGCAGCACUGUAGUAAGAAAUGGGUCUUCCUUGUUGCAUUAACACAGCUCCAAUACCUUUGCCAGAAGCAUCAGUCUCCAAUACAAAAGGUUGAGAGAAAUCAGGUAGUGCUAAGACUGGAGCAGAAAUCAAUGCUUGCUGUAACUGUCUGAAAGCUGCCUCUUGUGCUGAUUGCCAAGAGAAGUUGCCCUUUUUGAGAACAUCAUGCAAGGGUCUACAUAUUAAUCCAUAUCCUUUUAUGAAUCUCCUAUAGUACCCCGCUAGGCCCAAAAAGCUUCCGAGCUUAGUGACUGUAUCAGGCACAUGCCACUCUACAAUAGCAGAUAUUUUCUUUGGAUCAGUGGCUACUCCUUCAGCAGAAAUGACAUGACCCAGGUAUUCCACUUGUUGAGCAGCAAAAACACAUUUAGAUAGUUUGGCAAACAAGCUAUGUUCCUUUAAUGUUUCCAAAACAAUCUUGAUAUGUUCCAAAUGUUCCUUGAGAUUUUUGCUGAAUAUCAGAAUAUCAUCAAAGAAAACUAACACAAACUUCCUCAAGUAGGGAGCAAAUAUGGUGUUCAUAGGUUCUUGGAAGGUGCCAGGAGCAUUUGAUAAUCCAAAAGGCAUCACCAAAUACUCAAAAUGACCCAGAAAGGUCCUGAAUGUAGUUUUGUGUAUAUCUUCAGGCUUCAUUCUGAUUUGAUGAGAACCAGAUCUUAGGUCCAGCUUAGAGAAGUAGGCAGCUCCAUGUAACUCAUGUAACAGAUCCUCUAUUACAGGUAUAGGGAAUUUGUUUUUAACUGUUAAUGCAUUGAGCCUUCUGAAAUCAGUGCAGAGUCUCAUAGAUCCAUCUUUUUUCUUAACUAGGAUGACAUGAGCUGCAUAAGGACGCUGUCUAUGCCUGAUAAAAUGAGCAGCUAGUAACUUCUUAAUCUGCUCUUCUAUUUCUUGUUUCUGGUGUUGGGGCACUCUAUAAGGCCUACACUGAGGAGGAGUGGCCCCUGGGACUAGAGGAAUAGUGUGAUCCAGUGUUCUCUGAGGGGGAAGGGUCUUAGGUUCCUCAAACAGAUCAGCAUACUCCAUUAGCAGCUUUUGCACUUGUGGUGGAGUUUUGCAACCCUCAGGUGCAUUCAUCAUGAUAUUCUGGAUUUGCAACAAAAACACUUCCACUCCUUUGUCCAACAACUUGUUCAUUUUCUCAGAUUUCACUUCCUUAACAUUUGUAGCAUUUGUAAACAUGGCAGUAGUAACAGUUUGUUGUUCUUGUACAGUAAAACUGAAUUGUUGCUUGGGUAUAUCAAAAGAAACAGGACUGACAGCUGUAAACCAAUCAUACCCUAGGAUAGCAUCAUGACUAGGAAGUGAUAUAAUUCUGAAAUUAUGUUGUAGUUUAAGUUUACCCAACUGAAACUCACAAUUUGGUGAUACUGCAUCAGAAAUCAAAGUUCCUCCCCCAGCUACAGAUAUAGUUCUUGGUUUAACUGGUAACAACUGACAAUUAUCAUUGAUUGCAAAAUCUUGGUUGAGGAAAGAAGAUGUGCUACCAGAGUCAAGCAAUGCAACAACUCUUUUUCCAUUGAUGUGAAUCACCACAGUAGGAGUAGGGACAGUCAUUUGAUGACCCAUAUCAAAGGCAGAGAUAAACAUAGCUUGCUCUCCUUCAGAUAAGGUUUCAGGAGGCUCCUGAUUGUUCAUAUCUUCCAUCUCUUGUGGCACUGGUUCUUCUGUUUCUGGUUGCAUCAAGUGGACAUUAGGUACUAAUUUGCAUUUAUGACCAUGCAUCCACUUAUCACCACAUCUCCAACACUCUCCCACCUUCCUGAUCUUUUGAUAAGUAUCAGGUUGCUUUGUUGUAGUUUGUGAUCCAGAAGCAGUAGACACAGUAGAAAUUUUUUGCGCCACAUUGUUGUUGUUAGGUUUUUGAUAGAAAUUGGAGUAUGCUAACCCAGUUCUCUUGGGGAAGUUAGGAAGAGGAGGGUGACAAGGUUCCACAUCCUUGGCCAGCCAGUAAGCAUCAGUGAGAGAUUGUGGUCUCAGUGGUCUGAUUUGAAACUUGAUUCCUUCUUUGAGGCCAUUAACAUAGCAUCUCACAAACCAUAAUUCAUUAAGUUCAGGGUUUUCCUCUUGCACAUCAGCCAUUAAAUCCUCAAACAUCUUGGUAUAUUCAGAUACAGUGUCGUUCCCUUGCUUUGCAGAGUUAAACUUCUCUGUUAAGUCAUAAGAACCUUGUGCAGAGAAUCUCUUUAUCAGUUCAGCACAGAAUUGUUUCCAAGUCAGUUGUUUCUUAAGAAUUCCAGAUCUUCUUAGCCAUGCAUCAGCUUCACCAAUAACAUAUAGUUGUGCUAGAGAAACUUUAUAUUCUUCAGGAGCUGCUGACAUCUGAAAAUACUUGUUACACUGCCUGAUCCACCCCACUGGAUCUGUUCCUUCAAAUCUAGGGAAAUCCAGUUUUGGGCCUUUUGUCAUAGAUUUCAUGAACUGAGCUUGCAUGUCAUGCUCAUAAUUCCUAUAAUAGCCCUGCCACAUCUGUCUGUCUCUGUUGGUUUGGUAAUAUUUGUUGAAAACAGGGGUGUGACCACCAUCUCUUGCUGUUGCAGGUGUUCCCAUAGCACUCACAUGAUCUGUCCUCUAUUGAUUGUCAUACCCAGGAGGAACAACUUGCCUAUGUACCUUCAAAGGUGGUAAAUGUUGUGUCUGAAUCUCUUCCAGCUGUUUUGUUUUUUCCUUUUCCAACUCCAACUGCUUCCUCAAGAAUUCCUUUCUUAACUGUUGCUCUUGUAUAUCUUCUUGGUGCAGAGUAGGGGAACGAGCUGUCUGACUAGAACUCGCUAUAUUAGUGAGUCGUCCAAUCUGUCCCCCAGGUGGAAUCAAGGUUUGCAAAGACUGACUGAUAGCUGACAACUGUUUACUCAAAUCUAACACUGCUUUCUCAAUGCUGCCUACAUGUGUUGAGAUGUCACCUUGCUUGGAAUCGAUGGAAUGCAUGUCGUCCUGCAACUUGGACACAUCACUGCACAGGCUAGCAUUAUCCUUUUGCAGAACACCGAACUCAUCCCUUAAGGACAAGAUUUCUUGCACAUCAGCUUCAUCUAAAGCUGCUUUGCGUCCCAUCGCCUCGAUCUAAGUUACAGGUUAGGAAUUUUACCGCUGAAUAAUCAACAACCCUUCCACACAACUCAGAUCCUGCCGCCGCCUAGAUCCACGCCUCCAAAAGCAUACAAAUCAGCGCAAGGACCUGGAAUUUUACCGAUCAAACAAUUUGUUCGACCAACCACUCCUGCUUGACUGAUCUAUGCCCGAACAAAACACCGCCACCAGCGCCACCAGAAAACUAACAGAACUCGAACACCGCCGCCUACGCCGCCAUAACUAUGCUGAUCGUCCACUAUAGGGUGGUAAAAGGGUGGGAAAGGGGUGGGACUCGUGGAUCGGGAAGAAUUCUGUCACUCCAUCACUUUGUGGCUGAGGAUCGCUUGCAUCUGAUACCAAUUUGUCAGGACCGGAUGAACUAUAGAACUGUAUUUAGGAAGGAAAGGGGAAAGUUCUCCCGAGCUAACGUAUAUUCCAAGUAUAUGCUUGUUCUCAGACAAGGAGGAAGAUAAUAAUCAUGUCCAGCUAGCCACAUCCCGACAACUAUUAAUAGGCUCAAAGGUUUUACCGAAAAGGGGAAGAAACGCUACAACCCGACAAUGGACUUACUACAGUAAUUAUCCUACGGCUUUCGACGAAGCGGUACGCGAGGAGAGGGUCUGCACCAUUGGAUAACUGAACUUAACUGAACUCUGUUUCUGCUACUCGCUCGCACUUGUGCUGAACCUGACAGAACCAACCAUCAUUGUUCAGUUCACUGCCCUUUCAAAAAAACAAACGUAUUAAGAUUUCAGCUCACUGUACCAUAAGAGCACAACCGAAACGUGAAAAAACACAUAGGCACACGGCACACAUUCACACCGUAACACACACUCAUACAACUCCUAUUCAAGACCGGGUCAAAGUUGUGGAGCUGGAAAAUUAAUGAAGUCAUCACAGACAACUCGCUGUUAAGGGGAAUAUCGUCUCCCACCGAAGAGUCAAAUGCAAGAAACCAUAACAUUUGCGGCUAGAUUUGCAGAAAACUACCAAGUCGCUAAUCCAUUGCAAAAACCACCACAAAUUCUCUAUUCUCAUUGCAAAAACCACCACAAAUUCGGUCCGUUUGAUCAAGUGGGACUGGACUGUAAGGAGUAAGGAGGUAACUUAGAAAAAAAUUAGAUGCACAUCCCUAGAUCUAGAAACAGAAAAGCAAUCGAGCCCUUUCUCUUGAUCCCCUACCCCCGAUCCAAUCCCUUCGGCACCCAUCGUCGUCGCCACCACCUGCUGAUGUCCAACCCUCCAACACCCGUCGCAGCCACCCCCACCUGCUCCUAUCGCCGUCGCCGGAAGCACCCGUGCCGCCCUCCCUCAAUGGCAUGGGCGCCAUGAGCCGUCGCCGCGUCCCGCGCAUGCACCACGAGUGCCUGUUUGGCAGCCGCCGGCGGCCGCCGCUGCGGCAGCUGCAACUGCGUCGGGGGUGGGGGUGGCGGGGGCAGUGGCGACCACACGCUAUUCAACCCGGUCAUCGUGAUGCGGCGCUUGGCGCUCGGCGUCACAGCGGGGGAAGACAACGACGACGACUACGGCGCGCUCGCCGCGGCAGGUAGCUUCGANNNNNNNNNNNNNNNNNNNNNNNNNNNNNNNNNNNNNNNNNNNNNNNNNNNNNNNNNNNNNNNNNNNNNNNNNNNNNNNNNNNNNNNNNNNNNNNNNNNNUGUGUCACUCUGCCCUGCUAUGUCCUGCAUCUAUCAUGUGUAUGUUCAUCUCCUCUGCUCAUGUGUACUGCAGUUCGCUCAUCCCCUGCAAUGGUGAUAAUGGAGUUUGUAGUGAGGCAAGAGCUACUCUAACUGUAUGAAAAUGUAAGACAUUUUUCGACACCACUUUAGUGUUGAAAAACAUCUUACAUUUUCAUAUGGAGGGAGAAAGAGAGCAUGGUUUCAUGAAAUCAAAUUACAUUGGAUGCGAUCAGAAAAUACUCAAAACGAAGUUGGGUCCCGACGCAACCUAAUUGAAUAAUAUAUUUAGAAAAAGUUCUAAAAAUUACGAAACCUACUUCUGAUGAUUAUGGCCCGGUGUCAUGAUCAUGUGUUGGAUUCCGCAAAGGAAUGGUCUACGUGACCUCCCAUGCUAAAAAACAAUAUCGGAUCAACAUAAUAGUUACUCUUUCCGUCCCAUGAUGUACGACUUUUUUUUAUACCACACCACUAUCAAGUAUCAAAAAAACGUCUUACAUUAUGAGACGGAGGAAGUACCAUUCACUUUUUAAAGUUACAAUUUUGUUUUUCUUGCCGCCAAGUGCACCGAAGUCAUUUGUCUGUGAAACUUUGUGCCUGAAUAGAACACUCUGACCAUGUUUACACAUUUUCCCAGAAUUGUUAGAUUUUUUCAAUAUAUUUAAAUUAAUAAUUAAGAUGUCAUAUAGGGAAGAAAAUCCGCACCGGAAAUAAAUCAGGAUGCUUCAUGAAAUCAAAUCAGGGAAUGAAAUCAGAGGGAUGAUAUUCAAUAAGGAAAUAAAUCUUGGAAGCAUAAAUGUGGGUUAUUAUUAAGAAAAGGGAGGAGAAAAUGUGGGAGAGGAGUACACCAAGUCCAUCCAGUAGUGGCAGCCAACCAAGUCAGCCUCCCCCGCCAACGAACCGGUCCACCAUCCCCCAGACCAAAUCCCACCUCGACACCACGCCACCUCCCCCAUCCCACUGACAGGACGACCCGUUCGAAACAUGGUCCCACAUGUCAUUGCGGGUAAAUGGAGGUGGGGCGCGUGGGCGGAGCUGCCCCUCCGCGGCCGUCUACCCCGCAGUAUAUAUGGACGGCGCUCCGGCAGCGGUUCCCCACCAUUCCCUCCCCUCCACUCCGACCAAGAAAGCCCAGGCCCGAGCCCAAACCCGAAGCCCACCACGAGCCCGACGAUGGCCGCCGCUGAGACCCCGCCGCCCACCGGCGGGAUGGGGUUCCUGGGCCUGCUCAGCUUCCGCCGCAGUCCCACCGCCGUCGCCUCCUUCGACCCGGCGCAGGACGACGAGCUGCUCGUCCUCGACGCCCUCCAGGCCCACGUCGCCGACCGCCUCGCCGCCCUCUCCACCUCCGCGCAGGGGCAGCAGCAGGGGCCGGUGCUCUCGCUCGCGUUCCUCUCCAAGCUGCUCGACGCCGUGGUGUCCUCGGACGCCGCGUUCCGGGACGCCCUCGCCGUGGGCCCCGUGGGCGCCGCGCUCGCCAGGGCCCCCGCCGACCGCCNNNNNNNNNNNNNNNNNNNNNNNNNNNNNNNNNNNNNNNNNNNNNNNNNNNNNNNNNNNNNNNNNNNNNNNNNNNNNNNNNNNNNNNNNNNNNNNNNNNNAGUCAAGUAUUUGUUCCUAUGACCAUGAGAUCAUAUAACUCACUGACACCGAAGGAAUGCUUUAUGUGUAUCAAACGUCGCAACGUAACUGGGUGACUAUAAAGAUGCUCUACAGGUAUCUCCGAAGGUGUUCGUUGAGUUAGUAUGAUCGAGACUGAGAUUUGUCACUCCGUGUGACGGAGAGAUAUCUUGGGGCCCACUCGGUAAUACAACAUCGCACACAAGCCUUGCAAGCAAUGUAGCUUAGUGUAAGUUGUGGGAUCUUGUAUUACGGAACGAGUAAAGAGACUUGCAGGUAAACGAGAUUGAAAUAGGUAUGCGGAUACUGACGAUCGAAUCUCCGACAAGUAACAUACCGAAGGACAAAGGGAAUGACAUACGGGAUUAUAUGAAUCCCUGGCACUGAGGUUCAAACGAUAAGAUCUUCGUAGAAUAUGUGGGAUCCAAUAUGGGCAUCCAGGUCCCGCUAUUGGAUAUUGACCGAGGAGUCACUCAGGUCAUGUCUACAUAGUUCUCGAACCCGCAGGGUCUGCACACUUAAGGUUCGACGUUGUUUUAUGCGUAUUUGANNNNNNNNNNNNNNNNNNNNNNNNNNNNNNNNNNNNNNNNNNNNNNNNNNNNNNNNNNNNNNNNNNNNNNNNNNNNNNNNNNNNNNNNNNNNNNNNNNNNUCUCUAUGAUUUCGAAUAUAGUUUCAAUUUUUUUCUAUUGUCAUAAUUAAUAAUUUUGACUAUCCAAACUAUUAUCUAUUUUGUUAUUNNNNNNNNNNUUAUUUUCAUAAUUAAUAAUUUUAACUAUCCAAACUAUUAUCUAUUUUGUUAUUUUCAAUUAAAAACUAUGUNNNNNNNNNNCAUUAAAAACUAUGUUUAUCAAAAAUUCUUUUUGCAUAUUUGAGAAUUUGACAAAGCUAUGAUAAUGAAAAGUGUUUGAAAUUGAAUAAAUAAUGCAAAACUAUUUUAUAUUUUCAUAAUUAAUAAUUUUGACUAUCCAAACUAUUAUCUAUUUUGUUAUUUUCAAUUAAAAACUAUGUUUAUUAAAAAUUGUUUUUGCAUAUUUGAGAAUUUGACAAAACUAUGAUAAUGAAAAGUGUUCGAAAUUGAAUAAAUAAUGCAAAAAUAUUUUCUAUUUUCAUAAUUAUAAUUUUAAACUAUCCAAACUAUUAUUAUUAUGUUGUUUUCAAUUAAAAACUAUGUUUAUUAAAAAUUCUUUUUGCAUAUUUGAGAAUUUGACAAAACUAUGAUAAUGAAAAGUGUUUGAAAUUGAAUAAAUAAUGCAAAACUAUUUUACAUUUUCAUAAUUAAUUAUUUUGACUAUCCAAACUAUUAUCUAUGAUGUUAUUUUCAAUUAAAAACUAUGAUUAUUAAAAAUUCUUUUUGCAUAUUUGAGAAUUUGACAAAACUAUGAUNNNNNNNNNNGAUUUCACCCAUAUAGCAUGUGUUAAAAAGUUGAGAGGUCUACGACAAAAACUGGAUGCACUUCGUGUACAAAACGGACAAUUUCUCUCGAAGUAGCAGGGUUUCGAGCGAGAACUCAUCUCUUACAAAGGGAUUUUAUUUUGUUGAACUUAUUUGAACUCCAUACUUUUUGUGUGUUCAAAAUGCACCAUUCAAAGGCACAUCACAAAAUUUCAACAAUUUCUGACUUCAUUUGGUAUUCUUCGUGCAUUUACUUUUUUUUUGAGCUAGUUGACCCUGUAAUUGAAAAGCACUACAAAUGAACUCUGAAAAUGUUGAAAGUUGGCAUGCUAUCAUNNNNNNNNNNAUGCACAAAACGGACAAUCUCUCUCGAAGUAGGAGGGUUUCGAACGAGAACUCAUCUCUUACAAAGGGAUUUCAUUUUUUUGAACUUAUUUGAACUCCAUACUUUUUGUGUGUUCAAAAUGCACCAUUCAAAGGCACAUCACAAAAUUUCAACAAUUUCUGACUUCAUUUGGUAUUCUUCGUGCAUUUACUUCUUCUUUUUUUGAGCUAGUUGACCCUGUAAUUGAAAAGCACUACAAAUGAACACUGAAAAUGUUGAAAGUUGGCAUGCUAUCAUAAUUUCACCCACAUAGCAUGUGUUAAAAAGUUGAGAGGGCUACGACAAANNNNNNNNNNUAAUAUUUCAACAAUUUCUGACUUCAUUUGGUAUUCUUCUUGCAUUUACUUUUUUUUGAGCUAGUUGACCCUGUAAUUGCAAAGCACUACAAAUGAACUCCGAAAAUGUUGAAAGUUGGCAUGCUAUCAUGAUUUCACCCACAUAGCAUGUGUUAAAAAGUUGAUAGGGCUACGACAAAAACUGGAUGCACUUCGUGUACAAAACGGACAAUCUCUCUCGAAGUAGCAGGGUUUCGAACGAGAACUCUUCUCUUACAAAGGGAUUUCAUUUUCUUGAACUUAUUUGAACUCCAUACUUUUUGUGUGUUCAAAAUGCAUCAUUCAAAGGCACAUCACAAAAUUUUCAACAAUUUCUGACUUCAUUUGGUAUUCUUCGUGCAUUUACUUUUNNNNNNNNNNNNNNNNNNNNNNNNNNNNNNNNNNNNNNNNNNNNNNNNNNNNNNNNNNNNNNNNNNNNNNNNNNNNNNNNNNNNNNNNNNNNNNNNNNNNUCUCGGCCUUCUUGAUCCAGCAAGAGAGACAGAGAGGUAGAAGAGUUCUCCGGCAGCGUGACGGCGCUCCGGAGGUUGGUGAUGAUCUUCUCUCAGCAGGGCUCCGCCCGAGUUCCGCACAAACGCGAUCUAGAGGUAAAACCGUGGAGAUAUGUCGUCGGGCUGCCGUUGAAAGUUGUAUAAAAUCAGCCCUAAAACCUCCGUAUAUAUAGGGGGAAGAGGGGGAGCCUUGCCUUGGGGUCCAAGGACCCCUAAGCGCUUCGGCCGAGCCAAGGGGGGGAGAUCUCCCCUUCGAAACCGAGUCCAACUAGGUUUGGAAGGAGGAGUCCUUCCCCCUUUUCCCACCUCCUCUUUUUUUUCUUUUCUCUUUGAUUUUUCGUCCUAUGGCGCAUAGGGCUCUUUUACGCUCUCCCACCAGCCCACUAAAGGCUUGUGCGCCACCCCAAUGCCUAUGGCCUUCCCCCGGGGUGGGUUGCCCCCCCCCCCCCGGUGAACUCCCGGAACCCAUUCGUCAUUCCCGGUACAUUCCCGGUAACUCCGAAAACCUUCCGGUAAUCAAAUGAGGUCAUCCUAUAUAUCAAUCUUCGUUUCCGGACCAUUCCGGAACCCCUCGUGAUGUCCGUGAUCUAAUCCGGGACUCCGAACAACAUUCGGUAACCAACCAUAUAACUCAAAUAUGCAUAAAACAACGUCGAACCUUAAGUGUGCAGACCCUGCGGGUUCGAGAACUAUGUAGACAUGACCCGAGAGACUCCUCGGUCAAUAUCCAAUAGCGGGACCUGGAUGCCCAUAUUGGAUCCUACAUAUUCUACGAAGAUCUUAUCGUUUGAACCUCAGUGCCAAGGAUUCAUAUAAUCCCGUAUGUCAUUCCUUUGUCCUUCGGUAUGUUACUUGCCCGAGAUUCGAUCGUCAGUAUCCGUAUACCUAUUUCAAUCUCGUUUACCGGCAAGUAUCUUUACUCGUUUCGUAAUACAAGAUCCCGCAACUAACACUAAGUCACAUUGCUUGCAAGGCUUGUGUGUGAUGUUGUAUUACCGAGUUGGCCCCGAGAUACCUCUCCGUCACACGGAGUGACAAAUCCUAGUCUUGAUCCAUACUAACUUAACGAACACCUUCGGAGAUACUUGUAGAGCAUCUUUAUAGUCACCCAGUUACGUUGCGACGUUUGAUACACACAAAGUAUUCCUCCGGUGUUAGUAAGUUAUAUGAUCUCAUGGUCAUAGGAACAAAUACUUGACACGCAGAAAACAGUAGCAAUAAAAUGACACGAUCAACAUGCUACGUCUAUUAGUUUGGGUCUAGUCCAUCACGUGAUUCUCCUAAUGACGUGAUCCAGUUAUCAAGCAACAACACCUUGUUCAUAAUCAGAAGACACUGACUAUCUUUGAUCAACUGUCUAGCCAACUAGAGGUUUGCUAGGGACAGUGUUUUGUCUAUGUAUCCACACAUGUAUAUAAGUCUUUAUUCAAUACAAUUAUAGCAUGGAUAAUAAACGAUUAUCUUGAUACAGGAAUUAUAAUAAUAACUAUAUUUAUUAUUGCAUCUAGGGCAUAAUUCCAACAGUAUCCACAAUAGCUUUUUCUAAAUCUGCCAUCGAGGGAGAAAGACUCCUCACCAGAAUAUAUUUCAAAAAAAAAAAUUGGUCCUGUUUGUAAGAAAAACCAGAUCGAAAACCAAACAUGGCUGCCCAGUUUAUAAAAAAGCAGGCCAAAUCCCGCACAAGCAACGAAGCCCUGUGGUCCACACGACAUAAGGCUGUAGUCGCACCAAGACACACCCCUGGGUCCGGAUCCGCCGCUCCGACUACCUCUGCUCACACGCGAGCAACAACGAUGCAUGACAUGAACACCCUAUAGCCCUUGCUACAUGAAAAGACCAUAUGCAGACCACUAAUGGUGUGCCAUAAAUGCAGGGCCGCUGCCCUAACAUACUAAUUGCAUUGACCAGGUCAAGGGACUCGCUACCCUCGCAGGAUGAGGUCGCUACCCAAGCCAUGCAAAACCACGUAGAGCUGUUGUUGCUUCGCUGUUCGAGGCCACCGCCUCAGAACCCAUCCAUUGUCCGGAGCAGCCACCCCAGCAUCCACCGCCAUAGACCACAACAAGAUCCAACACAACUUCCACAGAUCAGCCGCCCCACAAUGUCAACCACAGAUCUGCCGCCCCACAAUGUCAAAGGAUUCCAAGGUGGCACGUUCAAGAAGGUAGUCACAUCGGUGUUAGCAUUUCCCGUUGGAAGUGAGCAUGAGUUUUCACCUGAAGAUCACUUGACAUCGCGGCAAAGAAUAGGCAAGCCCCACGACGAGGCCUUCAGGAAGGAAUAGAGUGAGAAAGAUGUCGUCCUCAUCGGCACCAAAAGAUGUAGAAAAACGUAGGUUAAGUGUAUGCUUGUUGCAGGGACGCGUUGUAGGGUAACGUAGCAUAAAUUUAAAAAAAUUCCUACGCAUAUUCCGAUCUUUCUAUGGAGAGACCAGCAACGAGAGAGGGGUGAGAGCAUCUUCAUAGCUUUGAAGAUCGUUAAGCGGAAGCGUUACUAGAACGCAGUUGAUCGAGUCGUACUCGCGGCGAUUCAAAUUGCGGUGUGAUUCCGAUCUAGUGCCGAACUACGGUACCUCCGCGUUCAACACACGUGCAGCCCCGUGACGUCUCCCGCACCUUGAUCCAGCAAGGAGGAGGGAGAGGUUGGGGAAGAACUCCAGCAGCACGACGGCGUGGUGUCGAUGGAGAGACGAGGUCUCCCGGCAGGGCUUCGCCAAGCACCGGCAGAGAGGAGGAGAAAGAAUGGCAGGGCUGCGCCGAGAGAGAGAGAGGGAGAGAGAGAGAGAGAGNNNGAGAGAGAGAGAGAGAAAACCAUGUGCAAAACAGCCCCGAAACCUCAACUAUAUAUAGGGGGAGAGGGAGGGGGCGCAACCCUUAGGGUUCCCACCCUCAAGGGGUGCGGCAACCCAGAUGGGAGAGGGGGCGGCGGCCAGGGCAGGGAGGAGGGGUGGCGCACCCCUCUGGUGGGCCUUAGGCCCACCUGCGCUAGGAUUCCCCCUCUCCCCUCUUCCUGCGCCAUGGGCUGAGUGGGGGCGCACCAGCCCACCUAGGGGCUGGUUCCCUUCCCCACUUGGCCCAUCUAGCCUCCCGGGGUCGUUGCCCCCCUUCGGUGGACCUCCGGGGCCACCUUCGGUGGUCCCCGUGGUCCCGGUACGUUACCGGUGAUGCUCGAAACACUUCCGGUGUCUGAAAUCAUCCGUCCUAUAUAUCAAUCUUUACCUCCGGACCAUUUUGGAGCUCCUCGUGACGUCCGGGAUCUCAUCCAGGACUCCAAACAACUUGCGAUAACCUCGUAUAACAAUUCCCUAUAACCCUAGCGUCAUCGAACCUUAAGUGUGUAGACCCUACGGGUUCGGGAGACAGGUAGACAUGACCGAGACACCUCUCUGGCCAAUAACCAUCAGCGGGGUCUGGAUACCCACGGUGGCUCUCACUUGCUCCGCGAUGAUCUCAUCGGAUGNNNNNNNNNNNNNNNNNNNNNNNNNNNNNNNNNNNNNNNNNNNNNNNNNNNNNNNNNNNNNNNNNNNNNNNNNNNNNNNNNNNNNNNNNNNNNNNNNNNNNNNNNNNNNNNNNNNNNNNNNNNNNNNNNNNNNNNNNNNNNNNNNNNNNNNNNNNNNNNNNNNNNNNNNNNNNNNNNNNNNNNNNNNNNNNNNNNNNNNNNNNNNNNNNNNNNNNNNNNNNNNNNNNNNNNNNNNNNNNNNNNNNNUUACCGGUAAGUCUCUUUACUCGUUCCGUAGCACGUCAUCGUGUGAGUAACUCCUUAGUCACAUUGAGCUCAUGAUGAUGUUCUACCGAGUGGGCCUAGGGAUACCUCUCCGUCACACGGAGUGACAAAUCCCGAUCUCGAUUCGUACCAACCGAACAGACACUUUCAGAGGUACCCGUAGUGCACCUUUAUAGUCACCCAGUUACGUUGUGACGUUUGAUACACCCAAAGCACUCCUACGGUAUCCGGGAGUUGCACAAUCUCACGGUCGAAGGACACUACAAGAAAUAUGGUCAAUUAUGACCAAAAUUAUUGACGGAGGUUUAAUUGGUCAUAGAUCAAUGACCAAAAUUCACAAAUUGGUCGUGAAGACUGUGGAUGGGUCAAAACCCUAUCAUGUCAUGACCAUUUAGGGUGAAUAGGUCAUUAUCUAAUUGCAUAGAAUGGUCAUAAAGAUGUGAAUGAUGCAUACUAGCUUAUUUCAAGUCCAUCAUGACGAAAUUAUAUUAUCAUAGAAAUCUGCUGAGGGUGUCUGGAUGACAACUCAACAAUUUUAUCAAGGUGUGUGUUUAAUUGUCAAUUUUUUGUCUAGGUGUAUGUCUAGUUGUCAAUUUUAAUAGCCAGACACACGACUAUGAUGGACAAAUUGACAGACGUGUCGCGUGGUUGUCAAUGGCAUAUAAUUGAUAAAAUUGAUAAAAAUGGGGCCAACAAGACUCAAUCAAAGACAUGUCACUAGUUCAAGAAGCACAUACGAGUAGGCAUUUAUCGUGCACAUGCUGUAGUAGCGGUUGGAAAUCUUUUUAAUUAUAUAUGUGUUCUGUUAUGGGCCUCCUUUGGGCCAAACCUGAACCAAGUCCAUAUUUUUAUAAAUAAAAGAAAAACUAUUGGUUGAAAGCCUGUUACUAGAAACAAACCCUAGAAAACAAAAAUACCGGGUCAAGUCUAUCUCAAGGGGCAGCGGUGGCGCGACUGACCAUCACUUGCACCCAGCGGGCAGCGGGUGGCGCCAUGGCCGACCAUAAAUUACGUCAGGCAGGCAACACGCAUCUCAGAAAAAUGAUAUGUGUAUUCACUCGAUUAGAGGAAUUAUGUUUCUGUCUAUAUAAUAUGUGCAAAGAUUUUUAGCUCCAAAUCGUCUCCAGUCACACCUAAAAUCUUUCCCGCUACUACAAAAAACUUUCCCGCUUCACAUAUGAGGGUAUUUUCAUCAAGUAUUUCAGCCGCACCGCACCAUACAGCUGCUCCCGUCCAAACAUUUCCCCCAAAUCCCCUCGAACCCUAGCCGCCAUGUCCCCCCUCGAACCCUAGCCACCCCUGCCUUCCCCUCGAGCGCGAGCAACGGCCGAUCCAGACACCGGCGGCGCAACGCAAGCAGCGGCCCAAUCGAUCCAGCCACUGGCGGCGCGUCCCCUCGAGCGCAAGCAGCGGCCGAUCCAGCCACCGGCGAUGCGUCCCCUCGAGCUCGAGUAGCGGCCGAUCCAGCCAUCGGCGACGUAACGCGAGCAGUGGGCCAUCGAUCCAACCACCGGCGGCACGACGCGAGCAACAGCCCGAUCGAUCCAGCCACCGGCGACGCGACGCGAGCAACGGCCCAAUCGAUCCAGCCAUCGGCAGGGUGGCGCUAGCAACGGCUCGGUCAAUCCAGCCGCUUGCGUGGUGGGGCGAGCAACGGAUGGUCCAACCACCGAGGGGCGGCGCAAGCAGAUCUUCCUGCUGUCCACGAGCCUGCUUGCUUGGUUUUCGCCCUGAUCAUCCAUCCAUCCAUAGUUUCUAUCCAUACGCACCUCGUCCACUGACUGGUAACCACACAUCCAUCGCUAGUACAUCUCUCGCCUGCUCUGCUGCACGGUGCCCUGAUUCCGGUUUCGUUUGAUGAUGCAGAUUAGGAUGUCGUCGGCUGGGAUGGUGGUGUUCUUCCAUGUGAUGCUCUGAUCAUUGUCGUUGCUCCGCUGAUCGACACUGCUCUGGGAGGACACGCGAUCUCGGUUCAGCGAGCUGGUGUUCUUCUCUACUUGUUUAGCUUAAGAUUAAUUCUUCUUGCUAAGUUCUUCCUAGCUUUUCAGCAUUAGCAGUAUUGCUAGUGGGAGCGGGAAUCAUGAUGCAUCAUCUCAUCUUCUAUUAUAGUUGUUGAUAAGAAGAAACUUUUUCAUUGGUGCUGUAUGUAGUGUUUGUUAGGAAAUGAAAAGAAAUGUCGGCAUGAAUGUUAUUGCAUGCCGAUAGCAAAGCUUGCGAUCUGGGCGAUCGUUUUGACAGAACUCAAUGUCCAUGACCAUGUUAACAAAGUGGUUUGUUAGUGGUCAAAAGAAAAAGGCGUUUCAGGCACUGCCUUUUUGUUUUGCUUUUCUUUAGAUGGAAUCACUUUUCGAGAUAGAAAAUUUCCAAAUUAACAUCUCUUUUGCAUUUGCUGUAAACUUAAAUAUUUAAUCCUCCUCUUACACUUAAAUUUCUGCAAAUAUAAUGCACUGAACUGCAAAAGUAUUUUACUUUGCAGUGGCUGUAAACUGAACAAAUAGUAUAUUAUAUGAAGAUAUGAUACAUAAGCAAUAUUUUUCAAUAGCUAAAAAUAUGCAGGCUGCAACUUGUGUAUUUUGGUAUGACAGUGCAUAAUUUAUGUCAACGACAAGUAGUGAAGUGUGUGUGUCUAGAUAUUAUAUGUGCAACUUAAGUGCUUAUCUAUCUUUCAAAGUAUCUGCCCACUUUAUGUUUAUAACUCGUAACUACUAUGUUGAUCCCUAGGCCAUCAACUCGUCCAACAAGCAAGGACAGUAGAAACAACCAAUCAA
rnacentral:lncRNA from 1 species